GAUGAACGACUAGCGGACAGGCCUAACACAUGCAAGUCGAGGGGUAACAGGGGAGCGUUGCUCCCGCUGACGACCGGCGCACGGGUGAGUAACACGUAUGCAACCUGCCCCGGAGAACGGAAUAGCCUCCCGAAAGGGAGAUUAACGCCGUAUGGCGCGGGCGCCCCGCAUGAGGCGCCCGCUAAAUGCGAAGCUCCGGGAUGGGCAUGCGCUCCAUUAGGUAGUAGGCGGGGUAACGGCCCACCUAGCCGUCGAUGGAUAGGGGUCCUGAGAGGGAGGUCCCCCACACUGGUACUGAGACACGGACCAG
rnacentral:rRNA from 1 species